CGCAAGAAGGCUGAUCACCAGCACCAUAAACCACUUCAUCUUCUCCCUGUUUCUCUUCCCCUCUUCCUCUUCUCUUCUCCGCGUCUCUGAAGCCUUCCGCAAGUCCUCUGGGCGUUUCACGAGGUCAGUGGCACUCCGGAUAGCGCAGUGGCUUCCCCUCUCACUCACACAAAGGGACUAAUCCCAGCCGGACUCUCCGCCGAGGACGGCCAUCAGCUGAUCCGCCUCGGGACGGGCGGCCUCGGUGCACGUGCACUCAGGCGUGCCACCCGCGCGCCUCUCUUUGCCACUCUCUAAUUAAGAUUUAAACCAGAGAAUGUGAUCGUGAGGAGUGGCCGAAACACAGUAGGGUUGUUUGGGGGACGCACGCAAGUGGUGUCGAGGAGGUGAUGGAUGUCGGCCCUAAUUGAUUUACUGGCAGCAGAUAUGUAGAAAUCCUUGAGGUUUUCCUCCCAAUAGCUAGGGCUAUGGCGUCUCCUGAAACGGACCCCCUCUACUUAUUCAGGACAACAGCCCCAUCCAUACCAGCCGUGCUGUCCAGGGUUGCUUUAGUGAACAUCCCGACAUAGCGCUUCUGUCACAUCCACCCAGAUCUCCGGAUCUCAGCCCCAUUGAAAACAUGUGGGCAGCCAUGUCAAAAUACAUGCAUCAAGAUUACACUCGUAAUCGUCUCGCAGUCGUGAAUAAUGCCUUGCAAGCAUGGGAACGUCUGUGGCGUGUGGAAGGAGUGUAUUGACAGUCGUGGUGUCUAUGCUUCGAUGCUUAAACUGUAUUUUGGCAGCAGGGGGUAGGAACACAAACUAUUAAAUUUGAAUAUAU